rnacentral:lncRNA from 1 species
UGAUAAUUUUAAAUUUGAGCUCUAUAAUUUAGAAAAUGUGAUUUCUUUAAAGCAAUACGGAAUAUAGAAUAAAAAAAUACGUACUCAUGAUGGGUAGUAACUAUCUCCGCCAUCAAUUAACGAUCUCGAUUUUAGAAAUGAAUUUAUAUUCAGUUUUAAAUCGGAUACUGAAAAUAAAAAAUGAGGUCAAAAAACACCUACUUAAAUGACGCUUAUCAUUUUCUAAGAUCAUGACCGGUAGAAAUUAUUUGCAUCAUCAACUGUAUAUUUCGAGUUUAGAAUGAAUUUAGUUUCAAUCCUAAGACUGGUAUCAAAUAUAGGGUUACAACCCC